rnacentral:rRNA from 1 species
UGGGGAAUAUUGGACAAUGGGCGCAAGCCUGAUGCAGCAACGCCGCGUGCGGGAAGAAGGCCCUCGGGUUGUAAACCGCUUUCAGAAGGAACGAAACUGACGGUACUUUCAGAAGAAGGUGCGGCCAACUACGUGCCAGCAGCCGCGGUGACACGUAGGCACCAAGCGUUGUCCGGAUUUAUUGGGCGUAAAGAGCUCGUAGGCGGUUCAGUAAGUCGGGUGUGAAAACUUUGGGCUUAACCCAAAGCGUGCAUCCGAUACUGCUGUGACUUGAGUACGGUAGGGGAGCGGGGAAUUCCUAGUGUAGCGGUGAAAUGCGCAGAUAUUAGGAGGAACACCGGUGGCGAAGGCGCCGCUCUGGGCCGAAACUGACGCUGAGGAGCGAAAGCAUGGGUAGCAAACAGGAUUAGAUACCCUGGUAGUCCCUGAGCGGGCUGGCAAGGCG